AUCCAACUGACGAGUCCCAAAUAAGACAGAACGAGUGUCCUGGAU
rfam:Schistosoma mattheei strain Denwood, Zambia genome assembly, scaffold: SMTD_scaffold0004781